UACUCUGGUCGGCAAUGGUAGGGAGGCCUUGGCCUGCCGGUUACCGUACGCGCCGGUCUGCAAACCUUGCCAUUUGCCGCCCACCCCG
rnacentral:antisense_RNA from 2 species